GAAAGGGUCGCUCAGCCUGGUAGAGCAUCCAUCCUUGCGAUGGGUGGCCUGAAAGAUGGCCCCGGUGGUUCGAAUCCAUCCCCUUUCG
rnacentral:tRNA from 2 species